AAUAGAUACCCCGGUAGUCCACGCCGUAAACGAUGAGUGCUAAGUGUUGGGGGGUUUCCGCCCCUCAGGUGCUGCAGCUAACGCAUUAAGCACUCCGCCUGGGGAGUACGGUCGCAAGACUGAAACUCAAAGGAAUUGACGGGGGCCCGCACAAGCGGUGGAGCAUGUGGUUUAAUUCGAAGCAACGCGAAGAACCUUACCAGGUCUUGACAUCCCGGUGACCACUAUGGAGACAUAGUUUCCCCUUCGGGGGCAACGGUGACAGGUGGUGCAUGGUUGUCGUCAGCUCGUGUCGUGAGAUGUUGGGUUAAGUCCCGCAACGAGCGCAACCCUUAUUCUUAGUUGCCAUCAUUCAGUUGGGCACUCUAAGGAGACUGCCGGUGAUAAACCGGAGGAAGGUGGGGAUGACGUCAAAUCAUCAUGCCCCUUAUGACCUGGGCUACACACGUGCUACAAUGGACGGUACAAACGGUUGCCAACCCGCGAGGGGGAGCUAAUCCGAUAAAACCGUUCUCAGUUCGGAUUGUAGGCUGCAACUCGCCUACA
rnacentral:rRNA from 1 species